AUGGCUCUUCGCAAUGAGCUCGCCGACUUUAAGAAGCUGGACUCCUCGGCCACGACCUACUUCAACAAGAUGAAGGUGCUGGCGGACACACUCACCUCUAUUGGUCGGCCGCUCAGCGGCGAGGAGUUUGAUGGCUUUGUCAUCAAAGGCCUCGAUGCCGAGUACGACAAUCUCGCAGAGGCUGUUCACAAUGCCAAGCCAGCGAUGUCCCUGCACGAGCUCUACUAA
rnacentral:rRNA from 1 species